AGAGUUUGAUCCUGGCUCAGGACGAACGCUGGCGGCGUGCUUAACACAUGCAAGUCGAACGGGGCAUAGAGAUAUGCCUAGUGGCGGACGGGUGAGUAACACGUGAGCAACCUAUCCUAUACAACGGGAUAACACAGAGAAAUUUGUGCUAAUACGGUAUAAGACCACACUCCGGCAUCGGAGAGGGGUAAAAGCUGAGGCGGUAUAGGAGGGGCUCGCGGCCCAUUAGCUAGUUGGAGAGGUAACGGCUCACCAAGGCGACGAUGGGUAGCCGAUCUGAGAGGAUGAACGGCCACAUUGGAACUGAGAAACGGUCCAAACUCCUACGGGAGGCAGCAGUGGGGAAUAUUGGGCAAUGGAGGCAACUCUGACCCAGCAACGCCGCGUGAAUGAAGAAGGUCUUCGGAUUGUAAAGUUCUUUAGCGAGGGACGAAAAGAAUGACGGUACCUCGAGAAUAAGCCACGACUAACUACGUGCCAGCAGUCGCGGUAAUACGUAGGUGGCGAGCGUUGUCCGGAAUGACUGGGCGUAAAGGGAGCGUAGGCGGCACAACAAGUUAGGAGUGAAAUACCGUGGCUUAACCACGGAACUGCUUUUAAAACUGUUGAGCUAGAGUGAUGGAGAGGAAAGCGGAAUUCCUAGUGUAGCGGUGGAAUGCGUAGAUAUUAGGAGGAACACCAGAGGCGAAGGCGGCUUUCUGGACAUUAACUGACGCUGAGGCUCGAAAGCGUGGGGAGCAAACAGGAUUAGAUACCCUGGUAGUCCACGCC
rnacentral:rRNA from 1 species